rnacentral:rRNA from 1 species
AUUGAACGCUGGCGGCAGGCUUAACACAUGCAAGUCGAGCGGGGGGAGGUAGCUUGCUACCGGACCUAGCGGCGGACGGGUGAGUAAUGCUUAGGAAUCUGCCUAUUAGUGGGGGACAACAUCUCGAAAGAGAUGCUAAUACCGCAUACGUCCUACGGGAGAAAGCAGGGGAUCUUCGGACCUUGCGCUAAUAGAUGAGCCUAAGUCGGAUUAGCUAGUUGGUGGGGUAAAGGCCUACCAAGGCGACGAUCUGUAGCGGGUCUGAGAGGAUGAUCCGCCACACUGGGACUGAGACACGGCCCAGACUCCUACGGGAGGCAGCAGUGGGGAAUAUUGGACAAUGGGGGGAACCCUGAUCCAGCCAUGCCGCGUGUGUGAAGAAGGCCUUAUGGUUGUAAAGCACUUUAAGCGAGGAGGAGGCUACUUUAGUUAAUACCUAGAGAUAGUGGACGUUACUCGCAGAAUAAGCACCGGCUAACUCUGUGCCAGCAGCCGCCGCGG